CAAGUAAAUAGUAAAGGCAUGGUAUGGGAAAUCGGGUGCCUUCCAUUAUGCAAAUAUAUAUAUAUAAAAGGCCGUACCAAGUGCACAAGGCUCCCACUUUGAGUGGGGUCUGGGAGAGGUGGAUGUCGGCAAGCCUUACCACCAUUUUUGGAGUGGCUGCUCCCAUGUCUUGAACUCGAGACCACUUGUACCGAGGCGGAGGCACUUGCCAUCGCACCAAGGCACGACCUUUAUAUAUAUAUAUAUUCAAAUAUUUUGUUGGUCUUAAUAAUUUCCAAGUUGAGCAUAGACGUUAAUCCUCAUUCCCCAAAUAGAAAAUUCGGUGCAAAGCAGAACUCCUUCAAUGCGCCACUUCCAUUUGACCACUGAAUGGAUUAAAUCGGCAUUCAAUCAUGUUCAUUGAUUAACUGUUCGUGUCUGGCUUCUGAUCAAUCUCGAAGGCUGUAUCUCUCUCCGGAGGCGACAGGCUUCCACAACUAUGGCAAUGGGGCCCUGAAGGAACGUUGAUUUUCUAAUAGGGUGGGGGCAUGGAGUAUUCUUGUUCCCUGUGGGAGAACUGGCCAUUCUCACUCCAUCGCCAUCCUUACCAGUUUAAAUAGAGAACAACUUUUCAGUACAUGUUUUUACUUCUUUGGAGAGAUACUUUUGUCUUUUGCAACAAAAGCUUUUAUUCAAGUUGUAGACCCUAAAUAGCAAAUGGGGUUAUAUUUUUUAGUCUAUUACCAUUAAUUUAAAAGAAAAUGAAAGGAUUUUGUGUCACUGAUAUUUGCUAUAGGUAAUCUACUCAUAAAUACACUUUUUCUUU